rnacentral:lncRNA from 1 species
AUAAACAGACAGAAAUGCUUUUAUUGUUUUAGAGAGAACAUUAUAGCUUUCUCUUUCUAUUGAAUUAAAUGCAACUGGGACUUCAGCUCAUUAUGGCUGAAGCUCUGUGCCAGACUGCAAGGACCCUUUGGAUUUGUCCACAUCAUCUCAGAAAUCUUCAUGCUCUGAUGACUAUAAUGAUUUUGUGCCUUAUAGCCACUAAUGCUUCAGUCAGAGCUCAGCUCCAGGGAUUUGAUAGCACUAUUGUCACUUGCAUUCACCUCUGCAAGGGGCUCUUCUGACCCCAGAGAUGUGCACAUCAGGAAAGAGGCUGGUAGGAAAGGCUGGGAAUCAGGAAAGCGCACAUCUUACCUAAUUUCUCACCAUUGCAGUUUGCAGAAUGCAUUAAUGAGCAAGUUUUGCUACUACUGAUUUUCUGUUCCUGGCAAAGUGGGUGCAUCAGGAGAGAGACAGUGAAUAAAGCGAAGUCCUACGUGGAAGGCAUUAUGUUGUAGCUCAGCAUGAUGGUAAGCCCCGACAAAGCCUCUGCUGGGAACAUACUUUUGAAAUCUCCAGAUGCAGAUAAACUUAAUUCAGGAUUUAAUUAGGAUUGUUUCUGACACGCUUACCCAGUACACACUUUGGAUUGAGCUGCAGAAGCCAAUCUUCACAGGACGGUGCACUGUAACUCACUGAAAUAAGCUGAUGACCAUCCCCAAGACAAUUAGCACCCUCCAAGAUAUUGCCCAAGUUGGCACAAAAACAAUCUCUUUUCAAGCCUUGUUUCCAGUGAGCAAACAACUCAGCCCACGUGACAACACAGCUCCCAUUCUUCUUAGCAUUUCUAUUCAUUUUAAUCAUGUGGGAGAAGCUACAUUACCUGAUAGGGUUUACAGGUUACUUCCAUCCCUGCAAAGGAGAUGCAAAUUGCUCAGUGUUCCCAUGGCUCCAGAAAGGUUUGCAUGGUUGCAAACAGAACAACACUGAUUGCUAAGCCCACUGUUUGUCUAGCUGAUAGGCCAAGGCAGAUUCCAUCAAGCAUUUCUAUGCAGUGAAUUACAACACGCAAGCCCAAUUAGAUUCUUCCUUCCAUAUUUACUUUUAAUGGUUUCCUUCCUUUUCCCCACUUGAACCAUUGUUCUUUUCAUCCCAGACUUUAAAGUAACUCAGUUAACUUUGCAAGAUAUUCCGGGCCUCGUGUGUUUGAAGAUGGCUCCCAAAUUAGCACGUAUGCUGUUUGUACUGAGGUCAAAAGAAACAUCAAACAAGACUGCAGAACUGCAGAUCACGUUUCAGCACAAUCAACUACUUCCCUUUUCAGACAGACUCUUACCUUGCAAUCUGGGAGAAUCUUCUGAUCUCUGUUUUAGCAAUAGCAUUCCAGGUUAUCCCAUAUUUGUCCAAAGCUCUGCUAGAUAGAUCUACUGCAUCUCCCUUACAUGGAAAGACCCCAACUUCCUAACAAGAGAUGUAGCCACCCCCUGUCCACAGAAACAGUUUUUACUGAGAGUCUCAAUGUUUGAUCCUUAACUUGUUUGUUGGGCUGGAAAUGUGCCACAGGAAAUGAGGAUACGUGUAAAAGAACACAAUAAACCUUCAGAAAUACUGUGCCUGGAGGCUACAGACUUGAGCAUUACCAUCUAUUCUACCCCUCAAGUCUUGAAAACUUUUUUCCUGAGUUCCAAAGGCCCACUACAAGGAGGUAGGCUGCACUCCUGGAGCAAAUUCUGUUACACUUGUUGGUCAGCUGUCCAGCCCCACAAGCGUGCCUAUGCCACAGAGCAGCUAUUUCAUCCAUUUUCCAGUUUUCAGUGCUGCUCAGAAUCACUCCUUGCUGAUAUGAAGCAGAGAUUAAAGACUCCUGAUGCUUUCCUUGCUGCCUGUAGCAGCGCAGUGUUUUAUUGCACCUCGAUUCUGUCUGAACUUCAGGACUGGGAAUGUGAUCUUCUGUGGCUAUCACUUUCCUUCAUCUCCAAAGAGCAAGAAAAUUUUUCUUCUUCGUAAGAUACCUCCUCUGGCUUUUUCUUACGCUUUAUUCCUCUUUUUGAGAAGAUCCAGUAACAAGUUUUUGUAUUUGUUCAUUUUGAAAUGUAUCACUUAGAAUCUACAUUCCUUUGCAUCUUUUGCCUAGCAGUUCACCAUCUUCCAUUUCCCUUAUUUGUAGGAUAUCUCCUCAAACAUCAUUAGAGAGCUUGGGAGUAGAUUUCAAGCUGGAGGAAAGGAGGCCAGUUUGGGUAUCAGAUGCUGGAGUGACCUUUCCCUUGAGAAGGGCAGCCAGCUUGCCAUGAACUGCACCGGAGCCAGCUGUAAGUAGGGCAGAUGUAACACCGUUGGACUCCUCCACGUUCACAAUCAGCUGAUGUGAGACCUCCAAGCUGCCAUUUGGAUGAGUCCACCAGAGCUGCCCUCACCACCAAGCACAUCCUGCCUGUGACCACAGUCAUCUGCAACCAUCUUACUGGAUGGUAUGAAAUCCUCAUUGUCAAUAUAAAAUCUCAAACUAUUUCAUUGCACCCCGCUUUGUGUUGGUGGGGUCAGAACCCAAAGUACUGAUCUGCUGACAGCCUGAUAAUCCCACAGCCAGCCCUACCACCUUUAUGCCAAAUUAGGAAUCACAUAAUUGAAGCAAAAGCCAUUUUAAUUGUUUAGGAUAAGAAAAAGGCUAAAAAAGGAAAAAAAAACCAAAAAACCCCAAAGCAGAAGGGCAUGUAUGAGAGAAUGACAUAAAUCCCACAGGCUUGUCCCAGUUAGAGAGAAUAAAUCGGUAUCAGCAUAGUAACACAGUGGCUCCUCUGGGUGCAGUCUCAUUUCUAUUCUUGCCUUUGAAAAUCCUGUUUGUUACCCACAAGCAAAGCCAUGCCUGGAGCUGGGACUGCCACCCAGCUUCUUCUAGGAAUGACUGUAAUUUACAUUCAGGCUCUCAGCAAUUAGUGGCUAAUGAGAUAACUUCAGUAGCUUCUAACUUCACUUGAAAAACCAACGCCAACAUUAUAACCUUAAAUGGCUUUUAACCCAGGAUUUCUCAUCUCUGGGAUAACUGAUGCUCUCUCCUCACGCUGAUACAUCUUAGCAGCAAACACGGGAGCUCUGCUAACACUCAGCUUGUGUCACUAACCAGAACAGGAAAUGCUUUGCAUACAGGUGGGAGCAUUAAUGUUUGUGAUAUUAUGCUAACUCCCUAG